GACGAACGCUGGCGGCGUGCUUAACACAUGCAAGUCGAACGGAAAGGCCCUGCUUUUGUGGGGUGCUCGAGUGGCGAACGGGUGAGUAACAUGUGAGUAACCUGCCCUUGACUUUGGGAUAACUUCAGGAAACUGGGGCUAAUACCUGAUAGGAGCUCCUGCUGCAUGGUGGGGGUUGGAAAGUUUCGGCGGUUGGGGAUGGACUGGCGGCUUAUCAGCUUGUUGGUGGGGUAGUGGCUUACCAAGGCUUUGACGGGUAGCCGGCCUGAGAGGGUGGACGGCAACAUGGGGACGAAGGUAGGGCCCAGACUCAAACGGGGGGCAGCAGUGGGGAAUAUGGCACAAUGGGGGGAAGCGUGGUGCGACGGCGCCGCGUGCGGGAUGCCGGCCUACGGGUUGGAAACCGCUUUCGCCUGUGACGAAGCGUGGGUGACGGUAAUGGGUAAAGAAGCACCGGCUAACUUCGUG
rnacentral:rRNA from 1 species